rnacentral:SRP_RNA from 2 species
GCCGAGCUCAGUAGCGUGAGCUUGUAACCCAAGUGGGGGCAUUAGUGUGAUGGAAUGUUGGGCUGUCCCAGAUGGUUGGGUUUGGUGGGCUAGUGUCUGGCCUGCCCUGUCCAAGCGCAGAGUUGGAUCACGUGGCUCAGUUGAAAGAAUGGGCUGCUUGAUUCCUAAAGAGGGGUGGACUGCGUGAGGCUGGUUUCACAGAGCAACGAACAGCUCCCGCUCUGUGCAGUGGAAGGAUAACGGGUCAGUGCUUACCGAGUCCAGUAACGCCUGAUGGGCUGCUCCAAUUAAACCACCACUUUU